UACAGAGGGUGCAAGCGUUGUUCGGAAUUAUUGGGCGUAAAGGGAGUGUAGGCGGUUUGCUAAGUCUUCUGUGAAAUCUACGGGCUCAGCCUGUAACGUGCAGAGGAAACUGACAGACUUGAGUGUCGGAGAGGAUAGUGGAAUUCCCGGUGUAGAGGUGAAAUUCGUAGAGAUCGGGAGGAACACCAGUGGCGAAGGCGACUUCCUGGCCUGUUCUUGACGCUGAGGCGCGAAAGCUAGGGGAGCAAACGGG
rnacentral:rRNA from 1 species